UGACCUCAAAUCAGGUAGGACUACCCGCUGAACUUAAGCCUAUC
rnacentral:rRNA from 2 species